rnacentral:rRNA from 1 species
UACCAGCACCCCGAGUGGUCGGGACGAUUAUUGGGCCUAAAGCAUCCGUAGCUGGUCCUACAAGUCUUCCGUUAAAUCCACCUGCUCAACAGAUGGGCUGCGGAAGAUACUAUAGGGCUAGGAGGCGGGAGAGGCAAGCGGUACUCAGUGGGUAGGGGUAAAAUCCUCUGAUCUAUUGAAGACCACCAGUGGCGAAGGCGGCUUGCCAGAACGCGCUCGACGGUGAGGGAUGAAAGCUGGGGGAGCAAACCGG